AAAAAAGAUAUUAAGGGCCAUAGGUGGAUGCCUUGGCUAGUAGAGGCGAUGAAAGACGUAUCAGGCUGCGAUAAGCCUCGGGGAGCUGCCAAAGAGCUUUGAUCCGGGGAUUUCUGAAUGGGGCAACCCAGCAUGGUGCGAAUCAUGUUACCCUUUCGAGGGGGCGAACUCAGGGAAGUGAAACAUCUCAGUACCUGAAGGAAAAGAAAUCAAACGAGAUUCCCAAAGUAGCGGCGAGCGAAAUGGGAUUAGGGCUGUUAGUGAUAAUAUAUUUGUUAGGUGAACACUUUGGAAAGAGUGAGCAUAGAGGGUGAUACUCCUGUAACCGAAAACAUUUAUAUGGUACUAGAUUAACGAACGAGUAGGUCGGGACACGUGUUAUCUUGACUGAAUAUGGGGGGACCACCCUCCAACCCUAAAUACUACUACUAGACCGAUAGCGAACAAGUACCGUGAGGGAAAGGUGAAAAGGACCGCGGUGAGCGGAGUGAAAUAGAACCUGAAACCUAUGGCUUACAAUCAUUCGGAGCACUAUUGUCGUAAGACAAGUGUGACGGACUGCCUUUUGCAUAAUGAGCCUGCGAGUUGUGGUAUCUGGCAAGGUUAAUCGAACGAGAAGCCGUAGCGAAAGCGAGUCUUAAUAGGGCGAAUUAGUCAGAUGCUGCAGACCCGAAACUAAGUGAUCUAUCCAUGAGCAGGUUGAAGCUGGUGUAAGAGCCAGUGGAGGACCGAACGGGUAAAGGUUGAAAACUUUUCCGAUGACUUGUGGAUAGGGGUGAAAGGCCAAUCAAACUUAGUGAUAGCUGGUUCUCUCCGAAAUAUAUUUAGGUAUAGCCUCGAGCAUUAGCAUGAAGGGGUAGAGCACUGACAGGGCUAGGGCUGCUUACCGCGGUACCAAACCCUAUCAAACUCCGAAUACUUCAUGUGUAACCUCGGGAGUCAGGCGGUGGGUGAUAAAAUCCAUCGUCGAGAGGGGAACAACCCAGACUAGCAGCUAAGGUCCCAAAGUCUUGUCUAAGUGGAAAAGGAUGUGGAGUUGCUGUGACAACCAGGAGGUUGGCUUAGAAGCAGCCAUCCUUUAAAGAAAGCGUAACAGCUCACUGGUCUAGCGAUUCUGCGCCGAAAAUAUAACGGGGCUAAGACAAGCACCGAAGCUCUAGAUUUGAGAUUUAUCUCAAGUGGUAGGAGAGCGUUCCAUUCAGCGUUGAAGGUACACCGGUAAGGAGUGCUGGAGCGGAUGGAAGUGAGCAUGCAGGCAUGAGUAGCGAGAAAAGGGAUGAGAAUUCCCUUCGCCGUAAACCCAAGGUUUCCUACGCGAUGCUCGUCAUCGUAGGGUUAGUCGGGACCUAAGUCGAGUCCGAAAGGGGUAGACGAUGGCAAAUCGGUUAAUAUUCCGAUACCGACGGUUGUUCGUUUGAGUGAUGGGGGGACGCAUAGAGUUAAUCGAGCUCGCUGAUGGAAUAGCGGGUCGAAGGACGUAGGUCGAGAAGUAGGCAAAUCCGCUUCUCAUGAGACCGAGAUCUUACAGGCCGAGCAAUAUCUUCGGAUAGCGCUUGGAAUCGAUGAUACUGUCGUGCCGAGAAAAGCCUCUAAACGAGAACAACCGUUGCCCGUACCGUAAACCAACACAGGUGGGUGAGAUGAGUAUUCUAAGGCGCGUGGAUGAACCCUGGUUAAGGAACUCUGCAAACUAGCACCGUAUCUUCGGUAUAAGGUGUGCCCUGUUUGUUAGGAGAUUUACUCUCCAAAGCGAAUAAGGGUCGCAGCAAAGUGUCCCUCCCGACUGUUUACCAAAAACACAGCACUCUGCUAACUCGUAAGAGGAUGUAUAGGGUGUGACGCCUGCCCGGUGCUUGAAUGUUAAAUGGAUUGCUUAGCUUUGCGAAGGCAUGAAAUGAAGCACAAGUAAACGGCGGCCGUAACUAUAACGGUCCUAAGGUAGCGAAAUUCCUUGUCGGUUAAAUACCGACCUGCAUGAAUGGCGUAACGAGAUGGGAGCUGUCUCAACCAGGGAUCCAGUGAAAUUGUAGUGGAGGUGAAAAUUCCUCCUACCCGCGGAAAGACGGAAAGACCCCGUGCACCUUUACUAUAGCUUGACACUGCUAUUGGGAUAUUCAUGUGCAGGAUAGGUGGGAGCCAUUGAUUCUACGACGCCAGUUGUAGAUGAGGCAUCCUUGAGAUACCACCCUUGAAUAUUCUGAUAGCUAACUCCGUACAAUUAUCUUGUGCGAGGACAAUGUCUGGUGGGUAGUUUGACUGGGGCGGUCGCCUCCUAAAAAGUAACGGAGGCUUACAAAGUUCGGCUCAGGUGGGUUGGAAAUCCACCGUAGAGUAUAAUGGCACAAGCCGGACUGACUGUAAGACAUACAAGUCGAGCAGAGUCGAAAGACGGUCAUAGUGAUCCGGUGGUUCUGUGUGGAAGGGCCAUCGCUCAAAGGAUAAAAGGUACGCCGGGGAUAACAGGCUGAUCUCCCCCAAGAGCUCACAUCGACGGGGAGGUUUGGCACCUCGAUGUCGGCUCAUCGCAUCCUGGGGCUGGAGCAGGUCCCAAGGGUAUGGCUGUUCGCCAUUUAAAGCGGUACGCGAGCUGGGUUCAGAACGUCGUGAGACAGUUCGGUCCCUAUCUUCCGUGGGCGUAGGAACGUUGAAGAGAGCUGACCCUAGUACGAGAGGACCGGGUUGGACAUGCCACUGGUGCACCAGUUGUUCUGCCAAGAGCAUCGCUGGGUAGCUACGCAUGGAUGAGAUAACCGCUGAAAGCAUCUAAGCGGGAAGCCAACUUUAAGAUGAACGUUCCCUGAAGUACGCUUGAAGACUACAAGCUUGAUAGGCUGGGUGUGUACGCAGAGCAAUCUGUUUAGCUGACCAGUACUAAUAGUACGUUUGUCUUUUUUUUAGUUCACUACCUUGUUUAGUGUAUUA
rnacentral:rRNA from 1 species